AGAUUUCUCUUUUAUUGUAUAAUGUUGUAUUAUUUCUAUAGUUUGGAGUACAAAGUCAGAUUCCACUGGCCAAUUAUUGUACUGGCUUUCUGUAGGCAGUAGACCUUGUCCUUAAAACUUCAGCAGCAAGUUAAGAACUAAAGUGCUAACAGAGGCAUGCCCAAAACUUCCAUACUCAUAAAGCAAAUUCUAAAACAUAAGUGCUAAGUCAUCAGGCUGGACUGGAAGUUAUCUGUAGAAAAUGUUAUGGACAGUAGUACAGAUUAAGCCCCGUUCCUCCAUCAAAGCUAUGUCCUGCAGUUGUAUUUGAAGAGACAGCUGAAUCAUUUUCCUGGAUUUAGAAAGUUCAGUCAGUAUUUUCUUAUGAAAUGAGAGCAGAAAAGGAAGUCUUGCAACCAGUUUUAAUCUCGGGAUUCAGUAAUCAAGCAAGAUACUCACUCACUUUGGAGACUGACCAUGUCUUUAUCCUUCCACUGCCUGAGGUAACAUAAACUGAUACCUUCUUGGACAUCAUCUUAAACUAUAAUGUCAUUUGAGAUAUGACACAGAUAACUAAAUAUUCAUGAAUAUAUAUAAAGAGAAAUAAUGACCAUAAAGGCAAUAAUGGCUAAAGAAACAUCCUCCGAGAUCUGGCCAUGGAAAGUGUGCCAUGGAUUUUGAUGGAAUGUUGAAUGUGCCAUAUGGAUGUGUGCAUUGUCGAGGACUGGAUUCUUCUCUCAGAGAUGGUGGGUGGGAGAUAAGUACACAACAUUCAGGGCUGAACAUCAUUUCACCAUCUCUUUUUCUGUGUUCUAUUUUGGUUCCGUUAUAGAUGGGCUUUGGCUUCCUGCACAUUCGGACAGUGUCUUUGUAUUCAUCCUGGGUUGUGUGAUCCUGACACUUGGAUGAUUCGUUUUUACAUGAUCCUGAGCUGCAUCAUCUUGUGGUUACCGCAAGGCUAUGCCCAGCUUUCACAUCUCAAACUAGUACUGCCUUGUUUGUAACUAUCAGGUCCAGGAGAGGAAUAGAACCAAGAUGCUAGUAAAAUUUACCAGAGUAAAAUGCAUGUUUAGAGCACAGGCUUGUUUUCCAGAAGGGUCAAACAUUACUGGAUAAUGAAUGAUGAAGCACAGCAGCAAGAUAGGAGCUGUACAUGUCUGAUAUUUGUGCUUUUUCCUUUAGGUUCAGAAUAUUGGUUUUGUUGGUCUUGACUGUGGCACAGGUUCACUGGUAAGUACAGCUAAACACUUCCUGAAUUUGAGGAAUAAGUUUGAAGACGUUUUGCAACAUUUGUGAGAUACCAAGUGAAGGUGAUGGAAUAAUGAUUGUGCCCUAUAUAGCACUUUUAAAAAUUGAUCUUCUGUAUAUAUGAAGUUAUUAAAAGAUGAUACAGCAUAGAAAAGGGAUGUCUAGUAUUUAGCAUAAUUUCUGUGAUGUGAAUGAGGCAGGGAAUUGUUGAAAUAAUAGUAAGUGAUAAUGUGACGAUUUGAAUAUAUAUUCAGGCAGUGUGAGCACUGUGCCUGCAAUGCUACAUUAAGAAUUUGCAUUUUUUUUUCAAGUAUUCAUUUCAAGAGGGGAUUUUUU